AGAUAUGAUCCAGAGUACCACGGGACACGUGAAACCCUGUGGGAAGCAGGAGGGACCACCCUCCAAGGCUAAAUACUACCUAGUGACCGAUAGCGUAUAGUACCGUGAGGGAAAGGUGAAAAGAACCCCGGGAGGGGAGUGAAAUAGAACCUGAAACCCUGCACUUACAAGCUGUGGAAGCACAUUUCUUGUGUGACCGCGUACUUUUUGUAGAACGGGCCAACGAGUUACGUUAAGUAGCAAGGUUAAGCACUUAAGGUGUGGAGCCGUAGCGAAAGCGAGUUUUAACUGAGCGUUCAGUUACUUGACGUAGACCCGAAACCGGGCGACCUACCCAUGAGCAGGAUGAAGCGAAAGUAAAAUUUCGUGGAGGUCCGAACCCACGAGCGUUGAAAAGCUCGGGGAUGACUUGUGGGUAGCGGUGAAAUUCCAAUCGAGCCCGGAGAUAGCUGGUUCUCCCCGAAAUAGCUUUAGGGCUAGCCUCAAGGUGAGAGAUACGGAGGUAGAGCACUGAAUGUCCUAGGGGGUAUUGCACCUACCGAAGACUAUCAAACUCCGAAUGCCGUCAUCUUAUACUUGGGAGUCAGACUGUGGGUGAUAAGAUUCAUAGUCGAAAGGGCAACAGCCCAGAUCGUCAGCUAAGGUCCCUAAAUGUAAGUUAAGUGGUAAAGGAUGUGGGAUUGCACAGACAACCAGGAUGUUGGCUUAGAAGCAGCCACUCAUUCAAAGAGUGCGUAAUAGCUCACUGGUCGAGUGAUCCUGCGCCGAAGAUUUCCGGGGCUAAAACUUACUACCGAAGCUACGGCAUCAGUAAUGAUGGGUAGGGGAGCUUCCCAUACGGGUUGAAGCAUGACCGUAAGGACAUGUGGACAGUAUGGGAGUGAGAAUGUUGGC
rnacentral:rRNA from 1 species